AGUCGAACGCACUCUCGUUUAGAUUGAAGGAGCUUGCUCCUGAUUGAUAAACAUUUGAGUGAGUGGCGGACGGGUGAGUAACACGUGGGUAACCUGCCCUAAAGUGGGGGAUAACAUUUGGAAACAGAUGCUAAUACCGCAUAAAACCUAACACCGCACGGUGUAGGGUUGAAAGAUGGUUUCGGCUAUCACUUUAGGAUGGACCCGCGGUGCAUUAGUUAGUUGGUGAGGUAAAGGCUCACCAAGACCGUGAUGCAUAGCCGACCUGAGAGGGUAAUCGGCCACACUGGGACUGAGACACGGCCCAGACUCCUACGGGAGGCAGCAGUAGGGAAUCUUCCACAAUGGACGAAAGUCUGAUGGAGCAACGCCGCGUGAGUGAAGAAGGUUUUCGGAUCGUAAAACUCUGUUGUUGGAGAAGAAUGUAUCUGAUAGUAACUGAUCAGGUAGUGACGGUAUCCAACCAGAAAGCCACGGCUAACUACGUGCCAGCAGCCGCGGUAAUACGUAGGUGGCAAGCGUUGUCCGGAUUUAUUGGGCGUAAAGCGAGCGCAGGCGGUUUCUUAAGUCUGAUGUGAAAGCCUUCGGCUCAACCGAAGAAGUGCAUCGGAAACUGGGAAACUUGAGUGCAGAAGAGGACAGUGGAACUCCAUGUGUAGCGGUGAAAUGCGUAGAUAUAUGGA
rnacentral:rRNA from 1 species